rnacentral:rRNA from 1 species
UAAGCAGAUAGUGAAAUCGUGUGGCUCAACCAUACUCACAUUAUCUGAACUGCGAAGCUAGAGGACGAGAGAGGUAACUAGAAUUCCUUGUGUAGGAGCGAAAUCCGUAGAUAUAAGGAGGAAUACCGAUGGCGUAGGCAGGUUACUGGCUCGUUCCUGACACUAAGGCACGAAAGCGUGGGAGCAAACGGGAUUAGAUACCCCGGUAGUCCACGCCGUAAACGAUGGAUGCUA